AACAAUUGUAAAUAGUUAAAACAAUUGGUUACAAUUCACCUUUGCUUAUGCGAUUAUUUGUGUACUGUAUCUUUAAAACGGUACGCGUGUGGCAGCCAAUCAGCGUGGCCUAACUUUAUUACCGGAAGUGAGCACGUGAAAUUGAAAUCAACGCAUUAUGGAAGAUUUGUUUCAUAUCAAGUUUUGACAAAAGAUUCGUAAACAUUCCUUUUGGGCAAUGACGCUUGCAAGACAAAUCCAAUGCAGGAGGGAUGAGGAUCAUCAUCUGGAGAGAAAUGACAGAUUCUUCACAGUGUACCAUCGCUGAUGACAAACGAUUCAUGAUGGAGAUCAAAGUUGUUUUGAUGGAGUCCAAGAAGAGCAAGUCUCGAUGGUCCGGCUUCCUGGUGUGGGCUUUAACCACCGUGUUGGGUCCUCCCAAGCGGCGGCACCAGCUGCAGCGCGGUGAUGCAUUUUGUCUGCGGGCAGCAGGCAGCGCUGCCCUCUGAGUCCUUCCGCUCCAUAUCAGUCACAGCGCGCCCCAUCAGACGUCCGCCGAGGCAAAUGCAAACGCGCCGUGUGCACAGUAGAGGGUCGGCAUGACUUAUUAUUAUCGAGGUUGUUUUUCCCCUGUGCCUUCCAAUGCAGCAGGCAAGUCAUGUCUGGAAAUAUGUUUAACACUGCCAUGCCCAAGAGCCUUACACAAUAUGGACAAAUAUCUUCAA